rnacentral:misc_RNA from 1 species
CAUUGACUAAGAAGGGGGCGGGCGUUUGAGGCUGAGGAAAAGGGGUUGAAAUGGUGGCGGAGAAGUUUGCUGGUAGAGUUGAGGAGUCUGGGAGACAUUGUUUACAUGAGGAGGUGCCAGCUGGUUGAACACCGGAUAAGAGUAAGCAGGAACCACCUGCAGUGCUUGUUGAUUCUUACUGCGAGGCCUUGCCAUUGAGUAAGCGCUUGAAGUCAGCUCUUUUCAUUGAAAGAUCCGGUCUAAGCUAAGCUGCAAGAUAGGCUAGAGUCAGAGUUCAAACCACUUCUUUCAAUAAAAUAAGGUCAGGCAUUGACUAAUUAGUAAGUCGACUAAUUAGUAAGUCAGCUCGAAAGAAGUCAAAGCGGAAUAAAGAAGUACUUGCGUAUAAUAAAGACAAUAAAGAAUGGCAUGAAGGUAAGGACUCAAUUUCAAUCUAGUUCAUCUGGAUUGAGAGUGGCUAUAAUACGGAAUAUCCGGUCUUCCAGAUCCGCUGCUAGCUGUCCUUCCUAAGCAGUUGAAUGAAUCCCGAGAGAAAGCACUACACUACUUGAAUCUUUGUGAACUAGAACAGCUACCGAGAUGGUUGACUUUACGGAAUGAAACUAGUGAAGUUUGCCUAGAGGCUUCAAGCUAGAAGGAAAUAGUUAAUAGCACUUGCAAGAGGAGGGAGUAGUGAUUCAAGUUCAAACUACUAAUAGAGCGAAGUCGGUGCUUGAUUCAGUCAGUCAAGGCAUUGAAUCAAGUCUUUCUUUAGAGCUCAUCUGGACUGAUUAAAUGUUAGAAGAAACUAGGCAAUCAAGCAAAGAAAGAAGGCAAGCAAAUGAAUCGUCUCGGGGAUGACUACUUUGCUCUUCCUAUCCUAGCCCUAUGAGACCUUACAUGCUGGUUUCUAGUCUUCUCCACCGGAGGUAACAGUUUGCAGUCAAAACGGUAACGGUUGUUGGUGUCUGCUCAUAGCUUCUUGUUCCUCAAUCUAAUUGAUCGUAUAUAUAACUCCGAUCAGUACCAGGCUUGGCAUUCUCAGGUGGCUUCGCCGCAGGUACCACACCGGUAGUUUAUGGCUUCUUCCAUUGAGUGAGCGUCUUCGACCUAGUUACUGUAUUCUCUCUCGCCUUUUCGAAUGAAAACAAAAAGCCAUAGCGUACUUUUUCAGGGCUGGGCGAAUCUGGCGCUUAUAGAGUACAGCGGCACCACGCGAAAAAGUUAAACAAGGCGAAGGGAGUUACCUUUAGACUAGUAAAG